AUCAUCAAGCUUGCUUUGAUGGAUGGCGACCGGCGCACGGGUGAGUAACACGUAUCCAACCUGCCGACAACGCUGGGAUAGCCUUUCGAAAGAAAGAUUAAUACCGGAUGGCAUAAUUAUUCCGCAUGGGAUAAUUAUUAAAGAAUUUCGGUUGUCGAUGGGGAUGCGUUCCAUUAGGCAGUUGGCGGGGUAACGGCCCACCAAACCAACGAUGGAUAGGGGUUCUGAGAGGAAGGUCCCCCACAUUGGAACUGAGACACGGUCCAAACUCCUACGGGAGGCAGCAGUGAGGAAUAUUGGUCAAUGGACGAGAGUCUGAACCAGCCAAGUAGCGUGAAGGAUGACUGCCCUAUGGGUUGUAAACUUCUUUUAUACGGGAAUAAAGUUAGCCACGUGUGGCUUUUUGUAUGUACCGUAUGAAUAAGGAUCGGCUAACUCCGUGCCAGCAGCCGCGGUAAUACGGAGGAUCCGAGCGUUAUCCGGAUUUAUUGGGUUUAAAGGGAGCGUAGGCGGGUUGUUAAGUCAGUUGUGAAAGUUUGCGGCUCAACCGUAAAAUUGCAGUUGAUACUGGCGACCUUGAGUGCAACAGAGGUAGGCGGAAUUCGUGGUGUAGCGGUGAAAUGCUUAGAUAUCACGAAGAACUCCGAUUG
rnacentral:rRNA from 1 species